rnacentral:lncRNA from 1 species
AGGUGUCAGAUUUUUCAUUUGAAUUGUUACUUAUUAAUGUUUGUUUGUAUUCUAUUUUCAAACUUCCUAUUAAUCCACUGAGUCUUUUUUUUUAAACAUUUAAGGUUUUUAUCAUGAAUAUUUUGUUUCUUCUCUAAUUAUAAUUUUUACUUUAUUAAUUAAAUAUUUAUUUAUUUGCUUUCUAUCCUGACUAUAGCUUCCCUCGCUCCUCUCCUCUCAGUCCUUUCCCCCAGCGUGCUCCCCCCUCCACUCCUCCUCUUUUUCUCUUCAGAAGAGGCCAGGCCUCCUGUGGAUAUCAGCUAGCCCUGGCUAUGAAGUUGCAGUAAGACUAGGCGCAUCCUUUCCUGUUUAGGCUAGAGGAGGCAGCCCAGUAGGGAGAAAGGGUCCCAAAGGCAGGCAACAGGGUUAGAGAGAGCCCCUGCUUCUGCUAUUAUAAGUUCCACAUGAAGACCAAGCUAUACAACUGAAACAUAUGUGCAGAGGGCCCAGGCCAGUCCCAUGCAGGCUCUCUAGGUGGUGUUUCCAUCUCUGUGAGCCCCCACUGGCCCAGGUUAGUUGAUUCUGUAGGUUUUCCUGUGGUAUAUUUGGCACCUCUGCCUCCUAUGAUGCUUCCUCCCCCUAUUACUUUGGAUUCCCCAGGCUCUGCCUAAUGUUUGGCUGUGCAUCUCUGUGUCUGUUUCCAUCAGCUGCUGGGGGAAGCCUCUUUGAUGAUGGUUAAGCUAGGCUCCUGCCUGGAAGUGUAGCAGAAUCAUUAGUGUCAGUAUCAGGGAUAUAUAAUAUCAUAUAUAAUAUAUAAUAUCAUUAGUGUCAGUAUCAGGGAUAUGCUCCUCUCCUCUGUCAUGGCCUGAUAUCAAGCUGGACCACUCCCUCAAUGUCCGCUCUAUCUUUACCCCAGCAUGUCCUGUAGGCAGGACAAACUGUAGGUUGAAGUUUUUGUGGCUGGGUUGGUGCCUCAGUCCCUCCAUUGAAAGUCUUACCUGGUUACAGGAGAUGGCAGAUGACUCUAUAGCCUCCAUUGCUAAGAGUCUUAGCUAGGGUCACACUGGGAGCUUCCAUUUCCCUAGGUUUCUAGCUCAUUCCAGAGAUGCCCCCCAGCCCUGAUUCCAGUUGUCUCUCCUGGUACUCUCUCCUUCCAUUUUCCUGGCACCUGAUUCUUCCUAUUUCCAUCCCAAGACCCUACACUCAUCCAGCACACCCCCAUCUACCCACAAGGUCUAUUCUAUUUCCCCUUUUCAGUGGGAUUCAAACAUCCCCACCUUAGGCCUUCCUUGUUACUUAGCUUCUUUGGGUCUGAGGAUUGUAGCGUGGUUAUCUUUUACUUUAUGGCUAAUAUCCACUUAUUAAUAAGUACAUACCAUGUUUGUCUUUCUGGGUCUGGGUUAUCUCUCUCUGGAUGAUUUUUCCCCUAGUUCUACUCAUUUGUCUGCAAAUUUCAUAGUGUCAUUGUUUUUAACAGCUGAAUAAUACUCCAUUGAGUAAAUGUAGCCCAUUUUCUUUAUCCACUCUUUGGUUGAGGGAUAUCUAGAUUGUUUCCAGUUUCUAGCUAAUAUGAAUAAAGCUGGUAUGAACAUAGUUGAACAAGUGUCCUCACGGUAUGGUAGAGCAUCCUUUGGGUAUAUGCUCAGGAGUGGAACUGGGUCUUGAGAUCAAGUCCCAGUUUUCUGAGAAACUGCCAAAUUGAUUUCCAAAGUGACUGUGCAAGUUAACACUCACACCAACAAUAAAGGAGCACUCCCCACAAGUUUACACUCACACGAAGAAUGGAGGAGCGCUCCCCACAAGUUUACACUCACACGAAGAAUGGAGGAGUGCUCCCCACAAGUUUACACUCACACGAAGAAUGGAGGCAUGCUCCCCUUACUCCACAUCCUUGCCAGCAUGAGCUGCCACUUGAGGUUUUGAUCUCAGCCAUUCUGACAGGUGUAAGAUGGAAUCUCAAAGUUGUUUUGACUUUUUUCCCUGAUGGCCAAGGAUGUUGAACAUUUCUUUAAGUGUUUCUUAGCCAUUAAAGAUUCCUCUGUCAAAACUUACUGUUUAGAUUUGUAUCCCAUUUUUUAAAUUGGAUCAUUUGGUUUGUUGAUGUCUUUGUACUUUUGAAAUUAUCCCUAAAUGUUUGAGUUUUAAAAUAAACAUAAUGUAAUAUU